rnacentral:tRNA from 1 species
GGAGGCGGAUUGGGCCUGGUGGCUUUCCCGGUCUUCAAAACCGGUGGGCCUGCCAAAAGCGGGCCGGUGGGUUCGAUUCCCACACGCCUCCGCCA